GCAUAACCUAAGCUUUCAGCAUAGUCUAGGUCAGAUUUCCUGUCCUCUCACCCCUGAUGUCAGCAGUGAAGAAGAGCAGGUGGCCCAGCAGUGCCUUUGGUGGUAAUAAAUGGACGCCCACGGUAGCAGCCAGGCCUGCUGUGAUGUCAGACAGCCAUGCAGCUGGCGGAGCCCUACUGCAGGCUCCAUGUACCUCACAGGAUCAGACGUCAGGCCUACCUGGGCCAAGGUCUUUUGAAGAUGGUUUUCAAAAGAAGUGUUUUUGUAUAUCCAGAGACAUCAAAAAUCCUAUCGGCAAUUCGAGCCCUCUUUUCAUGUUAAUGAUUCACAGGUCACAGGUUUCAUUAAAAUGCAUCGUUUUUUCUGCAUUAAGGUUGUUAGCUUGUGGCUGUGAAAGUGAGGAAGGCAUGCUAAACAGAAGCAAAAAGGCUCAUUCUUAUAUAGCAUGCAUCACGGGACAGUUUGUUCUGUAAUAGUAUGGGUAUCCUGAGUAAUGCAUCUUAGUAUUAUUGUAUCACAACUUCGGAACUGUUGUUGUAAUCACACAACCCCCCCUAAUAUCCACUGCCUUGGCAAUAAGGAUCUGAUACACUUAGCAAGGCAUAAGGACUUUUUUAUUUUUUUAUUUUUCACCUUCCAAACAUCUGUUUACCAACCCAUGGGGAUCGAAGAGGAUACUUUAGAGAAAAUGACCCUACUCUUGUAACGCAAUGCCCCCUUGUGGGCACGAAAUAAUCUCUUUAAAUAUCUUCAAUUAUUACACCUACUGUGCUGCAAGAAAAUUAUAUGGUUAAUUUGACACGUGUAAUGGCAUCCUAUCCUUUGUAUUUUCAACCUGCAACAUGUAUUCCAUUUGUAGUUACUUAUGGGUAGCUGUUAAUAUUAAUAACUUUAAACCUUCUUACACAUUUGUGAGGUGUUUUGACCCGAACCACAUGACUACUUAGUGCAGGGGUCGGCAAGUAACUUGGUAUAUAUAGUAUAGUAGUGUAGGGUGACCAUAUUUGAGUUUGUGAAAAAGAGGACACUUUGUCGCGGGGUAGGGGGUGUGGUAGUGUAUAGCAUACAGAUGACCCCGCCCCCUUCCCCCGCAACGACGUUUUUACAUCUUUUACACAUGCAGAUGUCAUGUGCUGUUGUAAACAAUG
ensembl:lncRNA